rnacentral:tRNA from 1 species
UUAUGCAGAAGUAAAUUUACAGUUAACUUCGAAUUAAUUAUUAAGGCAACCACCUUCGCAUAGU